rnacentral:lncRNA from 1 species
CUGAAAACUGCUAAACAAGAUCCUGCUCUCUUAAACUGAAGUUGUUGUUUAUUUGUUUCAGUCUGGAAACACCUAAUAAGUAUCAUGUAGAGUAAAUUUAAAAAAAAAAACAAUUCACCCUUGGUUACACUGUGGUGUGUUUAUAGAAUAUGAAGGAUUUUUUUCCUCCAAUGGUCCAAACAUUUCCAUAGUGGAUUGGUACAGAUUGUUUGGUGUGCAUCAUGUGGAAGAGUUCUGAUAUUGAGGCCAGAAAAAGAAAGUAUCGAGAUUAAUUAGUAGUAAGAGAAUGAGAAGAAAUAGUGGUUGAAGAAGAACCUCAUUCUGUACUGAAGUUUUAGCAUCUCAUCCUGAUUGAACAAGAUCACAUUGGGUCCAUAUUUCAUAUAAUCAGUCAACCUGUUGGGACCCCUCACGGUUCUUCAUUUUCUGGGAUCGAACUCAGGACCUUGCACUUUCGAGGCAGGUGGUGGCACCACUGAGCUAAAUCCCUGGCCCCCCCUACACUUCGUUUAAUGAAAAUACUGGAAUUAAAAGAAAUACUUUCCAAUAGUUUUCAUGGCAGAUAUAUGAAAUUGGUGGACUCAGUAGAUAAGCACAGAAAAUACUCUGGUUCCUAGAGUGGAGAAACCAGGUGAACCUAGUGUAAUCACAAAGGUUCUAAAGAGUGAAAGAGGACAUCAGAAGAGAGAAACAGGUGUGGCAGCGUGAGAAGGAUCCAGCCCAAUGUUGUUGGGAUUGAAGACAGAGGACCGGCCUGUGAGCCAAGGAAGCUGUCCUGCCCUUGAAAGCAGGAAAAGACAAGGGAAUGGAUCUCCCCUGGAAGCUCCACAAGGACCACAGCCAUGAUAACACCCUGAUACCAGGGAAGUACUGCUGAAUUUUAGGCUGCAGACCCAUAAGAUAACGAAUUUCUGUUGUUUUUGCAAUAGGAAACUGAAACAUGUCUUUGAGUCUUUUGUCAUGUUUUUCUCAGAUUGGUCUUUUUGCUUUGCAGAUUUUUGAUAUAUUAUGGAUGUGAGGGCUUUCUUGGGUUUGUUUAGUAUUUUACAUCCAUGUUCUUUGUUGGUCCCAGCUUAAUUGAGGGCAAUUGACAAAACUUAUGUAUGUUUAAAGAAUACAAUGUAAGUCUUAGAUAUAUUAUAUACUGUG